AAUAUUGCGCAAUGGGGGGAACCCUGACGCAGCAACGCCGCGUGAGCGAGGAAGGCCUUCGGGUCGUAAAGCUCUGUCUAGAGGGCUGAUAGUGACAGUACCUCUGGAGGAAGCCCCGGCUAACUACGUGCCAGCAGCCGCGGUAAUACGUAGGGGGCAAGCGUUGUCCGGAUUUAUUGGGCGUAAAGGGCGUGUAGGCGGUAGCUUAAGUCAGAUGUGAAAGUCCAGGGCUCAACCGUGGAAUUGCAUUUGAAACUGUACUACUUGAGUGCAGGAGAGGAGAGCGGAAUUCCUAGUGUAGCGGUGAAAUGCGUAGAGAUUAGGAGGAACACCAGUGGCGAAGGCGGCUCUCUGGACUGUAACUGACGCUGAGGCGCGAAAGCGUGGGUAGCGAACA
rnacentral:rRNA from 1 species